rnacentral:rRNA from 1 species
AAAUUGAAGAGUUUGAUCAUGGCUCAGAUUGAACGCUGGCGGCAGGCCUAACACAUGCAAGUCGAACGGUAACAGAAAGCAGCUUGCUGCUUUGCUGACGAGUGGCGGACGGGUGAGUAAUGUCUGGGAAACUGCCCGAUGGAGGGGGAUAACUACUGGAAACGGUAGCUAAUACCGCAUAACGUCGCAAGACCAAAGAGGGGGACCUUCGGGCCUCUUGCCAUCGGAGGUGCCCAGAUGGGAUUAGCUCGUAGGUGGGGUAACGGCUCACCUAGG